AUUGAACGCUGGCGGCAGGCCUAACACAUGCAAGUCGAGCGAGUGGCGGACGGGUGAGUAAUAUAUCGGAACGUGCCCAGUAGCGGGGGAUAACUACUCGAAAGAGUGGCUAAUACCGCAUACUAUUGGAGCGGCCGAUAUCGGAUUAGCUAGUUGGUGGGGUAAAGGCUCACCAAGGCAACGAUCCCUAGCUGGUCUGAGAGGAUGACCAGCCACACUGGAACUGAGACACGGUCCAGACUCCGACGGGAGGCAGCAGUGGGGAAUAUUGCACAAUGGGCGCAAGCCUGAUGCAGCCAUGCCGCGUGUAUGAAGAAGGCCUUCGGGUUGUAAAGUACUUUCAGCGGGGAGGCGUUACCCGCAGAAGAAGCACCGGCUAACUCCGUGCCAGCCGCCGCGGUAAUAC
rnacentral:rRNA from 1 species